GGACAGAAAGACCCUAUGAAGCUUUACUGUAGCCUGAAAUUGGGUUUGGGCUCUUCUUGCGCAGUCUAGGUGGGAGGCUAAGAAAAUUCCCUUGCGGGGGGGUUGGAGCCGUUUUUGAGAGACCACUCUAGAAGAGCUAAAAUUCUAAUAGUGAUCCUUGAAUCAGGACACUUGACAGUUUCAGGUGGGCAGUUUUACUGGGGCGGUAGUCUCCCAAAAGGUAACGGAGAUGUGCAAAGGUUCCCUCAAGCUGGACGGAAAUCAGCUGUAGAGUGUAAAGGCAUAAGGGAGCUUGACUGUAAGACCUACAAGUCGAACAGGGGCGAAAGCCGGCCUUAAUGAUCCGACGGUACCGUGUGGAAGGGCCGUCGCUCAACGGAUAAAAGUUACUCUAGGGAUAACAGGCUGA
rnacentral:rRNA from 1 species